CGCUGAGAAGCUAAACAGUUAGAAGCGCUAGCCUUUUAAGCUAGAGAGUGGUAAGCAACAUCUACCCUUAGCGA
rnacentral:tRNA from 1 species